rnacentral:lncRNA from 1 species
CCGUCAUCUGAGUCAUACCCAUAUAGACGCCUAAAAGGAAACUCACUACCCAUCUCCUUUUGCACUAUGUACGCAUCUGUGACGCCCUCGAUUUGAUCGUACGCUAAUCAUACACGCAAAUGCGUACGACCAAGCUCAAGGACUCAUGGGAAGAUAUCACAACACAACUCUAGACACAAAUAAAACAUACAAGCUUCAUAUUACAAGCCAGGGGCCUCGAGGGCUAGAAUACAGAAGCUCGAUAUACACACGAGCCAGCGGAAGCAACAAAUAUCUGAGUACAGACAUGAAACAUGAUAAUGCCUUAGAGAAGGCUAGCACAUAAGAUACAGCGAUCGAACGAGGCGAGGCCUCCUACCUGGGAACCUCCUAAACUACUCUUGGUCGUCAGCGGCCUCACGUAGUAGUAGGCACCAUCGGGGUAGCAGUCGUCAUCGGUUGGAUACGCCAUCUCCUGGGCUCCAUCAUCUAGUCCCAGCAACGUAUCAAGGGGAAAGGGGGAGCGAAGCAACGAUGAGUACUCAUCCAAAGUACUCGCAAGACUGACAUUAGAACUAUGCUAAGUAUGCACCAGUAUCGAAGGAAAGGGGUUUUUAUGUGGACUGACUACAACAAUGCGAGAAUAGAGAGAGGGGACUAGUCCUAUCGAAGACUCGCAUCUUCAUGGGUCUUACAGCAAUAGACGAGAGUAGAGUUAACAACACAAAAAUAUAGUCAUAUUGUUGCAGCAAUAUUAAUGAGGUCACGCCCAGAGAUCCUUCCUCGACUCCCUAUGAGGAAGCAAUCCCGGAGCAAACAUUCCAGUUAAGUAACAGUUGUAGUUGUAUAAGAUCGGGGCACAACUCCAAGUCAUCCGGUAACCGUGGACACGACUAUUUAAAUAGUUAAUUUUCGUCCCUGCAGGGGUGCACCAUCUUACCCAUCAUGCUUGAUAAACUCUCGCAAGACACACUUUCCAGGGUCAUGCCCGGCCUCGGAACAUCAACACGUUGCAACCCUACCUAGGCUCAACACAGAGGCUAGCCCGCCGGUUGAUACGUCUCCGUCGUAUCUAUAAUUUUUUAUUGUUUCAUGCCAAUAUUCUACAACUUUCAUAUACUUUUGGUAACUUUUUAUACUAUUUUUGGCACUAACAUAUUGAUCUAGUGCCCAGUGCAGUUCCUGUUUGUUGCAUGUUUUUUGUUUUGCAGAAUAUCCAUACCAAACGAAGUCCAAACGCAAUAAAAAACCUACGGGGAUUUUUUUUGGAAUAUUUAUGAUUUUUGGGAAGAAGAAUCAACGCGAAACGAUGCCCGAGGGGGGCGCACCUGGCAGGCUCGUGACCAACCCCUAAAGCGGUUGGGGCCCUUAUUUCGCCACAAGAAAGCUAAUAUCCGGAAGAAAAUCGUGUUAAAAGGACACCUCAAUCAGAGUUACGGAUCUUCGGGAAUUUAAGAAACGGUGAAAGGCCAGAAUCUAGGAGUGCAGAAACAGAAGGACACAGAGAGAGAGAUCCAAUCUCAAAGGGGCUCUCGCCCCUCCGCUGCCAUGGAGACCAUGGACCAGAGGGGAAACCCUUCUCCCAUCUAGGGAGGAGGUCAAGGAAGAAGGGGGGGGGGGGGGGGGCUCUCCCCCUCUCUCCCGGCGGCGCCGGAACACCGCCCAGGACAUCAUCGUGUGACGGCGAUCUACACCAACACCUCCGUCAUCUUCACCAACACCUCCAUCACCUUCCCCCAUCUAUAUUCAGCGGUCCACUCUCCCACAACCCGCUAUACCCUCUACUUGAACAUGGUGCUUUAUGCUUCAUAUUAUUAUCCAAUGAUGUGUUGCCAUCCUAUGAUGUCUGAGUAGAUUUUCGUUGUCCUACCGGUGAUUGAUGAAUUGCUAUGAUUGGUUUAAUUUGCUUGUGGUUAUGUUGUUGUCCUUUGGUGCCCAUCAUAUGAGCGCGCGCGUGGAUCACACCAUAGGGUUAGUAGUACGUUGAUAGGACUACGUAUUGGAGGGCAAGGGUGACAGAAGCUUCAGCCUAGCAUAGAAAUUGAUGCAUACAGGAUUGAAGGGGGACCAAUAUAUCUUAUUGUUAUGGUUGGGUUUUACCUUAAUGAACAUUAGUAGUUGCGGAUGCUUGCUAAUAGUUCCAAUCAUAAGUGCAUAGAGUUCCAAGUAAGGGAUGACAUGCUAGCAGUGGCCUCUCCCACAUAAAACUUGUUAUCGGUCUAGUAACGUAGUCAAUUGGUUAGGGACAAUUCCGAAACUCCUACCACCACUUUCCCACACUCGUUAAACUAGCGUAAUUGUUUCUUUAUCUAAACAUCCCCUAGUUUUUAUUUAUGUGUUCUUUAUUAUCUUGCAAACCUAUCCUAUCACACCUACAAAGUACUUCUAGUUUCAUGCUUGUUCUAGGUAAAGCGAACGUAAAGUGUGCGUAGAGUUGUAUCGGUGGUCGAUAGAACUUGAGGGAAUAUUUGUCCUACCUUAAGCUCCUCGUUGGGUUCGACACUCUUACUUAUCGAGAAAGGCUACAAUUGAUCCCCUAUAUUUGUGGGUUAUUACCGGUCUAACUCCUAAACGCGCACGGUUCAUGGGCCCAUCACCCUUUGCGCUCCUGCACGUUGCGCGGGCGGCCGAUGUCAGUCCUGGCGCCUCUUAUACAAGAAUGAUGCUUAUCCAGACCACUCGGGCGCGUGCCGCUCCAUUGCUGACGUUUGAAGAGCUUCAACCCAUACCACGACGUCGAGUACCCAUAAUUUCUCCCACGUCAACGGUGAGUGCAAAAAGGUCUACAACCAACCGAGAUCAAAUACGCAAAUCCAUUAGCAUUUUAAUUUACGCAACAUCACAUCCACGCGGGAAUCCACCCGCAACACACCAUUCAUCAAGUUCCCAUUAACAAGAUCAAGUAGUUGUGCAGCUGUAACAUCAUAGGGAACCGAGGUGUCACCCUCGAUGGAUUCCAAACGAUGUAAUCGUCAAGGUGGCCAAGGAGGGAUCACCCUCAAUGGUCCACGCUUGAUGGGUUGUGCGACAGAGUAGUUUAUCGGAGGUGGUGAAGAAGGAAUCACCCUCCGAGAACCACCAUCGGUCAACUACACUAUAGAGCUAACAUCAGGAGUACGUAUCAAGGUGUCACGCUCGGUACUUGAUAGUAGCUCUACAGUGUCGUACAACUAAGGGGGUGUGAGUGUUGUGACGGGUCUUGGCUCGUCGAUUAGAUGAUCGAGGCUUGAUGAAAAAGCAGGGGUAACUGGACUAAUGGUCAAAGGGUAUCACUGCUCCACCUAUACUAAGCAGUUUAAAGUGUGGUAGAGUAGAGUUGCAGUUCAUCAUAAACAGGCUACGCAUCAGAUAUAGGAGCUAACUACAACAGUAGCAAAAUCUAAUGCAAGCAUGAGGGAGAAAGAAAUAGGCAAUGUAGGAAUAAUCAAUGGGGGUUUGCUUGCCUUGUUUCUCUGCGGCAAAGGGUGGUCGUCAGGAGAGUAGUCGUCCCGGCAGCAGCGUCAGUUUUGGGGUCUACCGGUAAGAAGAAGGGAAAGAAACAAUAAAUACAAUGCACAAAUGCAACACGAUGAAUGACAUGGCAAUAUGCAGGGCUAGGCAUGAGCUAACGCGGUAUCACCCGUCAUAGACGGAUCGGGAAAAUAUCUAACGGUAUUUCCCGGAUAUGUGGCUAAUACCGGACAUGUGAUGGAAAAGUUCCACAUUCGCUAUGAUAGAGACGCGUGACACAAGAACAAACCGCGUAUCCGGGUUCGUCUGGUUUUUUUAUCAACUUUCAUGUAUAAAUUAUUUUCAUUCGAAUUACGGAUUAUUUUAUAUUAAUUUUUAAAGUUUUAUUAAUUAAUUAAGAAUUAACAGAUUUAAUUAAAUCCAAUAAUUAUAAAUGACAUCAACAUGAUGUCACUCUGACAUCAGCAGUCAAUAGUCAGUUGAGUGGUCAACUCUGACUUGUGGGUCUCAUAUGUCAUACCCACAUUUUUAAUUUAGUUUAAUCUUUACCUACUAAUAAAGCACGGAUAACUUCUGUCCGUACGUCAUCGAAGUUGCCCCUGAAGUUGGUCAAAAUUACCCACCAAUGCCGCCCGUAAGUCAAAAAACGAUUCAGUUUUCGGAUUUCAAAAAUCAUCGCGCCGUUAUAUGUUCUUAAUAGACUGAUAUACCAACAUGAGCUAGCCCGAUGGCCAAAGCCUCAACCCUCCACACUGGAGACCAGGGGUUCGAUCCCUGGUUCUCACACCCUUUUUCUCUUCUUUUUCCCUUAUGCAUGGGCCAGGCCAUGUGCAGGUAUUUUUUUACUUUAUAUUCCAGUUUAACGGCACCCCUGUUUAGUUGUUUUUUUUACUUUCUUAUUCAUGUUUUGAUUUUCUUCUCUAAAUUAAUUCCAGAUUUCAAAAGAACAAAAAAAAAUAAAAGUUGUCAGUUUAAAAAAAGUAGAAAAAUGAUAAACUGUUUGUGUAUUUAAAAAAUAUUCGGAAAGUCAUAAAAUGUUCAUGAAUUCAAAAAUUGCUCACAUAUUAUAAAACAAAUCAUGAUUUCAAAUAGAUUUUCAUGAAAUAAAAAAUGUUCAUGAUUUUUAAAAAUGAUCAGAUAUUCAAAAAAUAUUAAAGAAUUUAAAAAACAUCUCUAUCAACUUUUAGAAAAUGUUUCCAAAAAUUAAAACACAUCUCUAAAUAAUAAACAUAACUUACUGUCGCUUACAUUUUAUUAGAAAAUCUCUAGAGGUCAUUUUAUGAUUUUAUUUAGUCCCUCGCGUUGGGUACAAAAAGGUGUCUGUGAUUUACAAUUUGCUCAGCCAUAAAAUAUUUUGUUGUGACCCCUUAACAAAUCAAGUCACGAUGAGCAUUAUAUUUUUUGUUUUUGAAAUUACAUUUUAAAAGUGUCUUAUCUCAUCAUACCAUCACUCAGAUAUACUUUGUGAAAUAACAUUUCAAAAACCUUAUGUCAUAUUUGCAUUGGAUUCAUACUUCUUUAUAUCUAUCACACUUGUAUAACCUGAUAGUUUUUCUUAUUUAUCACACCUGUAUAACCUGAUAAUUUUUUUUCCGUUACACCUUUAUAACCUGAUAGUUUUUCUUCCGUUGCAACGCACAGACAUUUUUGCUAGGUAAUAAUUAAAUAGAUUAGUUCAAGAGGAUGGGACCCACAUGUCAUACACUACUUAAGUUAAUUAACUAACAAAUUUAACUUAAGUAUAUUAGGUUCAAUUAACCUAAUUAAUUAGGCACAUUGAUUACCCUAAUUAAUUACUAUGAUUAAAUUAGAUAGAAUUACUUCAUGAUUUAAUUCAUAGUCUAAUUAAUUAAUUGGGGGGGUUAACUAUUUAAUAAAUAGUUUUAAAUUCUUUUUUAUCCUUUUUUUUUGUUAACGGGCAUUGGGCCCCAUUGUCAUUCUCACGGGAAGGUGGCAAUCUGCCCCAAAUGCCUAAACACAGGGGGGGGCGAAUCCCUGUGGUUUAACAGGAACAGCCCCGAGGCGAGGCCAUCCGGGUUGUGGCCGUUGCCGGAGCGAGGCGGUGGCCGGCCGCAGCGUGCGGGGAGGCUGUCAACGGUAGGGCCACGAGGCCGGGCGGUGGCCAACCGCAGUGUGCGGGGGAGGCUGUCAACAGUGAGGCCAUGGGGCAGGGCGGUCGGAGCAGUUGCGGGGGGAGGCGAGGAGCGGCAGCUAGCGGGGGGGAAGGGGAGAGCUCGCUAGAGCGAGGCGAGGUGGUGCGGCCGAGACGGGGCGUGCGGUGGCCGGGAACGCGAAGGGAGGGUCGGAGGCGGAGCUGUGGGGGCUACCGGAGUGAGGGGCGAGGUCGUCGGGAGGCAUCGACGACGGAUCCGGACGGAGGGGAGGAAGAGGAGGGGUGGUCGGGGCCUGUGUGCUCACCACCGAGCAGGGGAGGCAGAGGCUCGAGGGGGAGGACGUUAGCAUGGUGGCGAGGUGGAGGAGGAGGCAACCGGCGACGGAGGCGGUAGGCAGCGGCGGGAAGGAGNN